rnacentral:rRNA from 1 species
AUGCUGGAGGUAUCAGAAGUGCGAAUGCUGACGUGAGUAACGACAAAACGGGUGAAAAACCCGUUCGCCGAAAGACCAAGGGUUCCAGUCCAACGUUAAUCGGGGCUGGGUGAGUCGACCCCUAAGGCGAGGCCGAAAGGCGUAGUCGAUGGGAAAAUGGUUAAUAUUCCAUUACUUCUGUGUAAUGCGAUGAGAGGACGGAGAAGGCUAAAUCAGCCUGGCGUUGGUUGUCCAGGUGAAAGGAUGUAGGCAUGUAUCUUAGGCAAAUCCGGGGUACUCUAUGCUGAGAUCUGAUAGCAAGCUGUACUUGUACAGCGAAGUGGUUGAUGCCAUGCUUCCAGGAAAAGUCUCUAAGCUUCAGUUACACAGGAAUCGUACCCGAAACCGACACAGGUGGUCAGGUCGAGUAGACCAAGGCGCUUGAGAGAACUCUGCUGAAGGAACUAGGCAAAAUGGUACCGUAACUUCGGGAGAAGGUACGCUGUUGUUGGUGAUGGAACUCGCUUCCUGAGCUGACGACAGCCGCAGAAACCAGGCCGCUGCAACUGUUUAUUAAAAACAUAGCACUCUGCAAACACGAAAGUGGACGUAUAGGGUGUGAUGCCUGCCCGGUGCUGGAAGGUUAAUUGAUGGGGUUAGCGUAAGCGAAGCUCUUGAUCGAAGCCCCAGUAAACGGCGGCCGUAACUAUAACGGUCCUAAGGUAGCGAAAUUCCUUGUCGGGUAAGUUCCGACCUGCACGAAUGGCAUAAUGAUGGCGGCGCUGUCUCCAGCAGAGGCUCAGUGAAAUCGAAAUCGCUGUGAAGAUGCAGUGUACCCGCGGCUAGACGGAAAGACCCCGUGAACCUUUACUGCAGCUUGACACUGAACUUUGACCUUACUUGUGUAGGAUAGGUGGGAGGCUUUGAAGCUGGAACGCUAGUUCCAGUGGAGCCGUCCUUGAAAUACCACCCUGGUAAUGUUGAGGUUCUAACUCUGUCCCGUGAUCCGGGACGAGGACCGUGUCUGGUGGGUAGUUUGACUGGGGCGGUCUCCUCCUAAAGAGUAACGGAGGAGUACGAAGGUGCGCUCAGCGUGGUCGGAAAUCACGCGUAGAGUAUAAAGGCAAAAGCGCGCUUAACUGCGAGACCCACAAGUCGAGCAGGUACGAAAGUAGGUCUUAGUGAUCCGGUGGUUCUGUAUGGAAGGGCCAUCGCUCAACGGAUAAAAGGUACUCUGGGGAUAACAGGCUGAUACCGCCCAAGAGUUCAUAUCGACGGCGGUGUUUGGCACCUCGAUGUCGGCUCAUCUCAUCCUGGGGCUGAAGCAGGUCCCAAGGGGAUGGCUGUUCGCCAUUUAAAGAGGUACGCGAGCUGGGUUUAGA